rnacentral:lncRNA from 1 species
UAGAAGCUCAGCAUGAACAGGGAGCUGGGGGUGGGUGGGGGAGAAAAAGGGUGAGAAGGAUCUGCAUGCUGGCAGGAAGCCCAAGCCCCACUGCAUCAGAGGAGUCCAGAUCGCAGAGCUGUCUAACUGCUCCAUCCUUCCCACUCUUCCCCAAGAAGAUCGCAUGCAGCGAAGGCCCAUGCAGGACUGUGCUUCCCACCCUCAGGCCACCUUCAUAGGGACCAGCCAUCCAUCCACAGGGAGCCGAUGGAGAACUAGAGAACACUGGAUCAACAGUUCGCCUCUUAGCUAUCCAGGAUGGACCUGAUAGAGGCCAUCCCAUCAGCAGCCCAGACAAGUCCUCUUUGAGACAGUGUGAUGUGUAGACCUAGCCCAUCUCCCUUUCCACUGUCAGGGCCUCUUUCCCACUCCUGCUCAGUUUUUGCUCUCGGAUACUUAGGUGCUUCAACAAGGGAAACGCCCCAGCCUUCUUGAGGAGAGAGCAGGGCAAGAAAGCCUCAGACAAACAAGCUGCAAGUGCUCUUUCUUCCAGAACCUGCCACUGCUCUCCUCAGGCCAUAGCUUGUCCAGGUAUAGCACACCCACAGGCUGUAUCGGGAUACGGUGGCCUGGAGAGGCCAAGUGUUGUCAGGUUGUGGGGGGCACACCCAGGAGGGCUUGACAGCACCUCUGCUUCUGGUUUCAAGGAAAGCAGUGCUCAACUGACUUCAACCAGAACAAGGGCAAAUUUUUCAGAGGGAAAGUGAGAGACCCUGAAAGUGGCUAUUAAGGCUUCCCCUAGAGGGCACACUUGGAACGACCUGGGUCAAUCCCCUGACCACAGAGCUGUGGC